rnacentral:rRNA from 1 species
UCGGGAAUUUUGGGCAAUGGGCGAAAGCCUGACCCAGCAACGCCGCGUGAAGGAUGAAGUAUUUCGGUAUGUAAACUUCGUAAGAAUAGGAAGAAUAAAUGACGGUACUAUUUGUAAGGUCCGGCUAACUACGUGCCAGCAGCCGCGGUAAUACGUAGGGACCAAGCGUUGUUCGGAUUUACUGGGCGUAAAGGGCGCGUAGGCGGCGUGGUAAGUCAUCUGUGAAAUCUCCGAGCUUAACUCGGAACGGUCAGAUGAUACUGCUGUGCUAGAGUACAGAAAGGGCAAUCGGAAUUCUUGGUGUAGCGGUGAAAUGCGUAGAUAUCAAGAGGAACACCUGAGGCGAAGGCGGGUUGCUAGGCUGAUACUGACGCUGAGGUGCGAAAGCGUGGGGAGCAAACAGGAUUAGAUACCCGAGUAGUCCCUGAGCGGGCUGGCAAGGCGCAU